rnacentral:snRNA from 1 species
UUGUCUUACCAUUCUUAUAAGCAGACAAUGUCUUUCGCCUUUUACUAAAGACAUCCGUGUGAGAAUGGACAAAUAGAUAACGCUAAUUUUUUCUGCCUCUUCUCAAGAGGU